rnacentral:rRNA from 1 species
CCCUUUUCUAUGGGACGAACAGCUGGAAACGGCUGCUAAUACCGAGUAAGCUCCAAUGACCGCAUGGUAAUUGGAGGAAAGAUGGCCUCUGCAUAUGCUAUCGGGAAAGGAUGGACCCGCGUCUGAUUAGAUAGUUGGUGAGGUAACGGCUCACCAAGUCGACGAUCAGUAGCCGGCCUGAGAGGGUGGCCGGCCACAUUGGGACUGAGACACGGCCCAG